rnacentral:rRNA from 1 species
AGUGAACGCUGGCGGUAGGCCUAACUCAUGCAAGUCGAACGGCAGCACAGUAAGAGCUUGCUCUUACGGGUGGCGAGUGGCGGACGGGUGAGGAAUACAUCGGAAUCUACUUUUUCGUGGGGGAUAACGUAGGGAAACUUACGCUAAUACCGCAUACGACCUACGGGUGAAAGCAGGGGAUCUUCGGACCUUGCGCGAUUGAAUGAGCCGAUGUCGGAUUAGCUAGUUGGCGGGGUAAAGGCCCACCAAGGCGACGAUCCGUAGCUGGUCUGAGAGGAUGAUCAGCCACACUGGAACUGAGACACGGUCCAGACUCCUACGGGAGGCAGCAGUGGGGAAUAUUGGACAAAGGGCGCAAGCCUGAUCCAGCCAUACCGCGUGGGUGAAGAAGGCCUUCGGGUUGUAAAGCCCUUUUGUUGGGAAAGAAAAGCAGCAGGUUAAUACCCCGCUGUUCUGACGGUACCCAAAGAAUAAGCACCGGCUAACUUCGUG